CGCCACAGCUCUGUGUAUGGGAGUGUCUACGCCAUCGCUGAUGUGGCUUUUUGUGUGGGCUUUGCUAUUGGCCCAUCUACCGGGGGUGUUAUUGUACAGGUCAUCGGCUUCCCUUGGCUCAUGGUCAUCAUUGGUACCAUCAACAUCAUCUAUGCCCCUCUCUGCUGCUUCCUGAAGAACCCACCAGCAAAGGAGGAGAAGCUGGCAAUUCUGAACCAGGAGUGCUCCACAGAGACCCAGAUGUACACAGUCCAGAAGCCCACAAAGGAGUUUCCACUGGGAGAGAACAGCGAUGACCCUGCCAGUGAGGACUAGCUGCAAAGGGUGAUAUCUGGGCCUCAUUCCAGGUGACCCCAGGAAGCUUGGAGCUCAGUGUUCCCGGGGACCGGAUCACCACGGAUUCAGGGGGUUUCACUUUCCUCUCCUCUGGGUGACUCCCUUCUUACUGAUAGCUUGCCCUUACUCACCUGUCAGUGUGACCCACCACUCUCC